GACGAACGCUGGCGGCGUGCUUAACACAUGCAAGUCGAACGGGCCCGCUCUCUUUUUUGGGGGUGGGUUGAGUGGCGAACGGGUGAGUAUCACGUGAGUAACCUGCCCCCUGCUCCUGGAUAACUGCUUGAAAGGGCGGCUAAUACGGGGUGUGCCGGCUGGUCCGCAUGGGCCUGGUCGGGAUAGUUUCAUCUUCGGGUGUUUCGGUGGGGGAUGGGCUCGCGGCCUAUCAGCGUGUUGGUGGGGGGAUGGCCCACCGAGGCGGUGAAGGGUGGCCGGCCUGAGAGGGUGCGCGGCCACACUGGGACUGAGACACGGCCCCGACUGCGGCGGGAGGCAGCGGUGGGGGGUAUUGCACAAUGGGCGGAAGCCUGAUGCAGCGACGUCGCGUGAGGGAUGGAGGCCGUCGGGUGGUGAACCUCUGUCUCCGGUGGUGAAGGCCCUGUCCGUUGCGGCGGGGUUGACGGUAGCCGGGUAUGAAGCGCCGGCUAACUACGUG
rnacentral:rRNA from 1 species